UACGUAGGGGGCAAGCGUUGUCCGGAAUCAUUGGGCGUAAAGAGCGCGUAGGCGGCCAGACAAGUCCGGUGUGAAAGUCACAGGCUCAACCUGUGAAUGCCGCUGGAAACUGUCUGGCUAGAGUCCGGAAGGGGCGAGCGGAAUUCCUGGUGUAGCGGUGAAAUGCGCAGAUAUCAGGAGGAACACCUAUGGCGAAGGCAGCUCGCUGGGACGGUACUGACGCUGAGGCGCGAAAGCGUGGGGAGCGAACAGG
rnacentral:rRNA from 1 species